CAUGUCUCGCUCUCUCUAUCAACUCUCCCCCAAAUCUUUAUUCUCCAAAUCGUUCCAACUCGCUGUAGCCAAGCUUACUGCUGGCCUAUCUCCUAGAACCAAGCUUCGACUGCGACUGCUCGUCACUUCUGGGCGCCUUCUUCCAUCACCCGAGACCCAAGUCAGCACCGGUAAAGAUCUCUUGAUUCCUCACGGUCGGACCGACUUCGAAGCAAGCUACUGGUCGUCUAUCUCACCCCCUUUCUUAUUAUUAGUAAGAUAGGUUGCCCCUUGCUCUUUGCUCCAGGUAACCCUAUCUUCUUAUACCUUAAUUUCUUACUGCAAGAUACUACCCUAUUUUGUUUUUCUUUGGAUUGAGCCCUAACUAGAUUCUAGGUUAAACGUUAUUUUGUUUUUCUAUGGUUUUUACUGUGUUUCUCUUUGUAAUUUUGAGGUGUAUGUUUAUCUUUUUUCCCCUACUCAACGAUGAAUGUUCCAUGUCAUUAGAACAACCUUGCAGAAUCAUAUUCAACAAACCCUUUUCUACCUAUUUUGUCUCUCAAAGUGUGAAUGUCUGCAACCUGAUUUGAUUUAACUCCUUGUUGUCUUUAUUUUGCAGUUGAAAAUGAAUUUGGAGUUUGUUGUUUUUCUCUUUGGAUUUUGUGUCAAAAUAUUAGGUUUGGUACCAAUUGCACUCUAAUAUGCCCAUUUGAUUCAACUUGAUUUCUUUUGCUUACGUUACUUUCAUGGAUUGAUUAAAUUAAAGAAGUAUCUUGUAUGGAUGCUGAGAAAAUUUUGGGAAAGUGUGGCGUUUACUGCGUUUGUUAGAUGGUUUUAGUGUUAGGUAGUUUCAUAGAUGGUUUUUUGAAUACUCAUUCACUUGUUGGCGAUAACAUUCUGUACAUUGGGAGCAUAUGUACUACAAAAAGUAAUAAAUUUAGUAAUCAAAAGAGCUUAAUUAUAAAUCAUCCAUUUUUUGUACUUAUAUGUAGAUUUGUUGAUUUAUCUAUGUAUAGUACGAAUGGUAUGGAAACAGUGCCAGAAUUGUCUAUUGGAAUGUGUAGUCUAACCAAAAAUAAGAAUCAUUGUUCUGUAAUUGUUUAUUGUAGUAUGCAACAAUGCAAUACUACUACUACUUUGGGUUAACAAGUUUAUAUUUCCUCAUAUUCAAAUCAAUGUAUUCCUGUAUCUAUGUGUUCCUGUAUCUAUUUUCUGGUGUAGCUGGGAUACUUUUAUGCUUGCGAUUUUUCUCCAUUUUUGAUUUAGAUAAGUGUACUUUUUACAUUGUGUUGAUAUGUUACCAUAGUAUUCAUUUCCGUGUUUUUGUAGAUUGAUUUUAUUAGAGAGGAACUGCUAAAUAUCAAGUUUCCUAUAAUACAGAUGAGUUCUUUUACAUCAACACCUUUAAUAUUUUUCUCGAGUGUCAUUCUGAUUUGUAGAGUUGUAUGAACUGUUAGUACAUAGGCACACUUAAGAGAGAGUGAAUUAGGUGUUUAGAAUUUUUAUGGUUUUUAGAGAGUUAGUGGAUUAUUUUUUUGAUUGGGAUUAGUGUAUAAAAAAACUUGUAAAUGACAGAAAAAUAGAGAACAAACGAUUUAUCCUGCUUCCCCUUUCAAACCAAUGGUACAUCCAGACCUCUUGCACACCAUAAGAGAUUUUCCACUAUUGUUAGAAUAAGUACAAGGCUAACUCUAAGACUUUUGUUACAAACUUCUAACAAUCUUUCUAAGCUAGCACACCACUAUCCUAGUUUACAACACUUGAAAAAAUUACACCAAUUUCCUCAAUUUACACAAUAAUUUGAAUGAUUUUACAACAAUGAUUUUAACUAAAAUCAAGAGAAUAUAACAAUUGAUGCUUUUUUGUGCAAUGAUAACAGUCUAAUAUAAUUUCAAGUACAAUAGAGAACCUUUCUCAAUGAUAUGACAAUGUAAAACAUGUAGUUGAAAUAUGAAAGUAUGACUUUGAAUAAUUCACAAAAUAUUUCAGAAAAUGUUAUUCUAAGAUACGUUUUAAGGUUCUUAAGUUAAAUCUAAAGCUAGGAAGUAUUUAUACUCCUUAGACAUUACUUCAGAUUAGUGACAAUCGUUCAUAGAAGUUUGAUGAACAUAUGCAAUGAUCCAGAAUCCACAAGAAUUGAAAAAUUGUAUUGCUUCACAGUUGUAUUCGGCUACAACCUGACUAGAUUUUGCCAUUGACUUGAUUUUGUAUAUGGCUACAACAGUAGUCGAAUAUAAAAGUGCAAUUUUAGCUACUAACUUGGUAUUUCUAUUCGGCUACAACAUCCUAUAGUCGAAUACAGAUCUACAAUUUUUGCUACUGACUUGGAUUUGUAUUCGACUACAACAUGCUGUAGUCAAAUAUAGAUGUACAGUUUUUGCUACUGACUUCAUAUGUAUUCGGCUAAACAUAUAUGUAGUCGAAUACAACCUUAACUUUUGUCAAAAACUUGAUUUUCAAACAUUGUUCAUGCAACUUCAUACUUUGAAAAUUCUUUUGAUGCAUAUGUUAAAGUAGAAGAUUGUCAUGUGCAUUUGAAAUAUAACAAUAUUAGAUUGCACCAUGUACCUUAAACUAUAAGUCUUCUAGCAUAUUGACAAUAGUUGACUUGUUUGUUGACUUCACUUUGAACUUGCAACUUGAUCACUUUACUUGGUCUUUGUCUUCAUCUAAAACAUAAGUAUUCUUGCAUAUUUACAUGAACCACAACACCAAUUUACUGCAAACUGAUCUAUCUUUUAUCCCCUUUGAGGAUAAGGAAUUAAGAACAACGUUAGAAAUACUGAGUUCAAAAUGCAUGUGUCAACUAACAAUAUUGGAUAACAAAAAAUGAACCAAACGAAUCUGGUUCGUAGCUAAACUAUUUGAAGCAGUUGUUAUAUGUGUUCUUACAACAUACAUGUCUAUUGGAUUGGGAAAAAAGUAACUAUUUUGCAAGAGGGUUUAAUUAAAUUAUUUUACGUAAAACUUGUUUUAUCUAAAAAUUAUUCUGCUUAUAGAAAAGUUCAAUAUCAUUUACUGAAAUUAUGUUUUGAUAACUAAUUUAGAGUUUUCUUACCAGGUUGGGCACUCUAUUGGUUCAUACAUAUCUGUUGGAAUAUCAAUUUCUUCCCACGGGUGUCUUAGAUUUGCAUCAAAGGUUGCAGGGAUUUAGGAUCUUGGCAUGUUAGGUUGUGGCAGUGGAGAAGAGAUUGGAACAUAUGUUGAAAAACUCAUGACAAGUGAACUUUUUGAAAAUGUGAUAGAUAUAUGUCUUGUAGGAGCACUCACUUCAAAAUCUUUUGCAUUUAAAGCCCAAAAAUGGGAGUUGAAGGGCACAUAGAGCAUUGAUGUUACUGAUGCAGUUGAGUCAAAUAUUCGAAUUGAUAGUAGAGGACCUAAAGUCAUAUGCAUUGUUCCUCAUUUAAAAGAGGUUAGAUUCUGAUGGAAAUGUUUUGUCAAACUAUUUGUGGUUGCCAAAGCUUCAAUUUUUCUUAUGAUUAUUAACAUUAUUUAAUUUUUGCAAGAAAAGCCAUGGUACCAAGUUUGCUGGUGCUUAAAUACUAUGAAAUGUUGUCUCGUGAUUUCAUAGUAUGAAUUAAUUUGGAAAAUAAUUGUUAUUCAUUAACCUAAUUUACAUCUUAUAAGAAUUGAUGCUUUCCAAAAGAUGAUACCAAUGAAUUCUUGACUUAAUCUGAUUAAUUGGUUGUAGUUUUUUUUUUUUUUUUGCAUUCAAGCAUGUUGCUGCAAAGUCUUGUGUUAUGAAUAUGUAGUAAUCACUACGCGAAAAACUGCAUUUUAUAGCGCUUUUUUUAAUCCAUUUACGGCGCUUUUUUUUUUGAAAAAGCGCUGUGGAAUCGAUAGAAGUAUUUGGAGUGGAUCUUUUGUAUUUCUUUAUUGUAUACAUUUGAUGAGUUAUUUUUAUGUUGGUUUUAUUAAUUUUUUCAAGUGGGUUAAAGUUAAGGCCAUUACUACUUCUGUUUUAAAUAAAUACGAGUGGUUGGAUGUUAAACAAAUAAGUUUUUAGUGGUAUUUUGUGCUACUGGUCUAAUUAUGAUAGUAAUUGUUAAACUUUAUGCAGAUAGGUAUGGUAUUUGUACCAAGAAAGUAUAUCAUGGGCCAUUUGGAUGAGAGCCUUGCAAUUGGAUCCAUGUUGUAAAUUUUUUUGAAUGCAAGUCUACAAGAGGAAGAAACAUUAGUAAAACAUUAAAAAAUUGUGUUAACAAUGUAGUUGAUAUUUAAUUUAAUGUAUAAAUGUAUUUUGUUGUUGGAAUUUAGUGUGUUUUUAAAAUAUAUUUUUAAGGCUAAAAAGUAUAUUUUUACAAUUUAUAAUUUUUUUUUAAUUAAGUAAAGUAGAGAUCGACAUGGUGACAAUUUUAAAUAAUUUGAUAAAAUUAGUCACUAAAUUAGUCUCUAAAAUUAGUCACUGAAUUGGUUGCUGAAAUUUCGGUCGCUUAUUCAGUCACUAUGCAUUAGCGACUAGCAUUUUAGCUCUUGAUUAAAACUAGAUGCAAACCUGCACAUUGCGCGCUAAAAUUUUAUAUAUUAGUAAGUAUAAAAUAACAGUAAUAUAAAAAAGUAAUGUUAUUUUUGUUUUAGAGUAGAAAUACUCAAGCAUUUAUGUGUCUAACGAUAAAUAUUUUUUGAAUACUUAUAUAUAGACUUUUUUUUAUUUAUAUCAUUUUUUUUUAUUUGACCGAAAUGCCACAUUUCGGAAAAAAUAUACAUAAAUGUAAGAACAGAAGUGCGCCUAAGAGUGAGGGUGAAUUAGGUGUUUAGAAAUUUUCUUGUUUUUCGAGAUUUAGUGUUUGAUUUUUCUGAUUUAAGAUAGUGUAUGGAAAAGAUAAAUAGCAGAAAAAUAAAGAACAAAAAGAUAUUAUCCUGGUUCCCCUUAUAACCAAGGGUACAUCCAGUCUUCUUGCACACCACAAGAGAUUUUCCACUACUGUUAGAAUAAGUACAGAUCCCACCCUAGGACAUUUGUUACAAACUUCUAACAAUCACCCUAAGAUAGCACACCAUUAUCUUAGUUUACAAAACUUGAAGAAAGAACACCACUUUCCUCAAUUGACAACACUUGAAGAAAGUUGUAACACCCCGAUUUUCAAAGCGAGGGUUAAUUUAUAAUUUUUUUUUAUUUUUUUUAUUUUUUUUAAAGAAAUUAAAAUAAAUAAGAGAAUUAAAAAAAGGUAAUACCUUUGGAUAAAUAAUUGAGUCAUUAUAAUUUAGAAGCAGCGGAAAAGUUUCUCAAAUUAUGAAUCCAAAGUAUUAACACAACAACAAAUGAUACAUGGAACCCAUUCAAAUAAGAUGUCAUACUGACAAUAUUAGUAAAUGUACAGUUUUCCAGUUCAAAAUAACGUAAUCCAAAAGAAAGACAUUUGUUCCCUCUACGUCAUCCUAAUCUGAUCAUUCUACAAAAAAAAUAGUUAUACUGGAAUACUAAUAAAAUAUAUAUGUUUUAUGAUACUGAUUCAUAUAUUAUUUACAGUAAGGUUACAUUUUUAUCUUUUCUUGUAUUGAUUUUGUCUAACUUCAAUAACUUAACAGUACCAUACCAUGCGAAAUGUCCUCUAUAUGACCUUGACUGACUUCAAAAAGGUAAAUGGCUUCCUUUCUAUGAAUCUGGUUUGUAGCUAAACUAUUUGCAAGCAGUUGUCAUUUGUGUUCUUACAACAUACAUAUCUAUUGGAUUGGGAAAACAAUAACUAUUUUGCAAGAGGGUUUAAUUAAAUUAUUUUACGUAAAACUUGUUUUAUCUAAAAAUUAUUCUGCUUAUAGAAAAGUUCAAUAUCAUUUACUGAAAUUAUGUUUUGAUAACUAAUUUAGAGUUUUCUUACCAGGUUGGGCACUCUAUUGGUUCAUACAUAUCUGUUGGAAUAUCAAUUUCUUCCCACGGGUGUCUUAGAUUUGCAUCA
rnacentral:lncRNA from 1 species